AUGGCUCGUACAAAGUCGACUGCCUGCAAAUCCACCGGCAGAUCCACCGGUGGUAAAGCACCCAGGAAGUAACUGGCUACAAAAGCCGCUCGCAAGAGUGCGCCCACUACUGGAGGGGUGAAGAAACCUCAUCGCUACAGGCCUGGUACUGUGGCACUCCGUGAAGUUAUGAUUCCCAAACUUCCCUUCCAGCGUCUGGUGCGAGAAAUUGCUCAGGACUUUUAAAACAGAUCUGCGCUUCCAGAGAGCAGCUAUAGGAGCUUUACAGGAGGCAAAUGAGGCCUAUCUGGUUGGCCUUUUUGAAGACACCAACCUGUGUGCUAUCCAUGCCAAACUCAUGUCUGGACGUGGUAAGGGUGGGAAAGGCUUAGGUAAAGGAGGCGCUAAGCGUCACCGCAAGGUUUUACGCGACAAUAUCCAGGGCAUCACUAAGCCAGCCAUCCGACGCCUUGCUCGUCGCGGCGGUGUCAAGCGUAUUUCUGGUCUUAUCUAUGAGGAGACUCGCGGUGUUCUGAAGGUGUUUCUGGAGAACGUGAUUCGUGAUGCAGUCACCUACACGGAGCACGCCAAACGCAAGACCGUAACAGCAAUGGAUGUGGUCUAUGCGCUGAAGCGACAGGGACGCACUCUUUACGGCUUUGGUGGCUAAGGCUCCCGCUUACUCCACUCAGUAUUUCUCUUUUCAACCAAAGGCCCUUUUUAGGGCCGCCCACUUUUUUCGUAAAAGAGCGGACAUCUUGUUAUCCUGUUCUGUUCCAGGUUUUUGCUGAAAAGCAGUCGUGCACUAGUGUACAUUUAGCAGUUCUGUGGCUCCUGAUGGAUCUGAGAAGAUGGACGUGGAGGAUGAAAAUCUGAUGUUUGUUGCUAUGGAGAUGCUGCCCAUAUGUUCAUGUUGUGGAUGUUAAGUCAGUAGCCCACAGCCUUGUAUUCCAUACUCAGGAGACCCUGCUACUUGACAUCUCAACUUGGAAGUCCAAUAAAUAUGCACUUCAAACUUAAA